AACGAACGCUGGCGGCAUGCCUAACACAUGCAAGUCGAACGAGACCUUCGGGUCUAGUGGCGCACGGGUGCGUACCGCGUGGGAACCUGCCCUUAGGUUCGGAAUAACUCCCCGAAAGGGGUGCUAAUACCGGAUAAUGUCUUCGGACCAAAGAUUUCUCGCCUUUGGAUGGGCCCGCGUUGGAUUAGCUAGUUGGUAGGGUAAAAGCCUACCAAGGCGACGAUCCAUAGCUGGUCUGAGAGGAUGAUCAGCCACACUGGGACUGAGACACGGCCCAGACUCCUACGGGAGGCAGCAGUGGGGAAUAUUGGACAAUGGGCGAAAGCCUGAUCCAGCAAUGCCGCGUGAGUGAUGAAGGCCUUAGGGUUGUAAAGCUCUUUUACCCGGGAUGAUAAUGACAGUACCGGGAGAAUAAGCUCCGGCUAACUCCGUG
rnacentral:rRNA from 1 species